GGGGCUGCUCUGUCUAUGGAGUAGCCAUUCUUUUAUUCGAAUACUUUACUCUCCUAACAAACUUGCUUUCAUUUUACUCUACAGACUCACCCUGAAUUCUUUCUUGCACUUGCUCUAAGAACCCUCUCUUGGGGUCUGGAUCCGGACCGCUUUCUGCUAACACUUCUACAUACCACGUUUAUUUGAGACAGAAAAAUACAGCAAGGACAUCCAUCUAAACUUUGUCUGGAGUCUGGGCCCAGGGGAGCUGCAGUACAUGGAGGGUCUCUGGAAGUGGGUAUGGCAGAUUAGCGCCUAAGCUCAACUGGCUUUCCUCCUCUGCCUCUGUUCCUGGGACUUGCUCACGGCUCACAAGCAUUUCCCAGGGGAGUAAAAGGAAGGAUCAAAGCUACAAUGGGCUUGGCUGCCCUUCUCCAGGAAUGGCCAGAGGACAACUUCUGCUUGGAAAGUUCCUGGAUACUUCUGGAACAGAAUUCUCCUGGGGUGAGUGGUUCACACAACUGACCCACUUCAUCCCCACUCAGCAAAAUGAGAGCGCCGUUGACUGACAACAAAAUGCUGAACUGGAAACCUCCGCAGUAAAACGUGAUGCAGAACAGAGAAAGAACUAAGAUGUUCUGCACAGACGGUAUCAUGCCCUCUAUGAGGAAACUACUCGAGCAUAUCUGUGUUUCAAAUGAUGUCUUUGAACUAUUUAUGUUAAAUGCCCCCCCAAAAAAAUGGAAAGGCUUCUUCGUAGAGGAAAGAGCUUGAAGUUGCUAGGCUGUUCUGCCUUCAACAGGCAUUUAUUGUGCAGCUACAAAAUGCUGCACCAAGCACUGGGCAGUGGAAAGGUGAUUCAGACACAGUUCCUUUGACAAAACCUCAAAAUCCCAUGUGAAGUUCUCUUUUAUAAAGUAAAUCAGAAAAGAUUCAAAAGUUGAGGUACCAAAAAAAAAUAAUAUAAAUGCAAGUAGUAAAGCGCUAUUGACUGUAAAUAGAAGCACUUAAUAAGUGGUUGUUGUUUCUGUUCUUCUCUCUAAUAAGUGUAUACAGGUGGCUAAAUGCUUUUGUUGAGCUAUGAGUACCUCAUUCUGUGGAGUGACUCAGAAAGUCUCUAGGUGUUAGACUGGAAACAGGUGAUGUUCAGUGCACGCAAUGCUUGAAGUGUUCCCAGGUAUUUAGUUUCAGGUAAAUUUUACUGUUUAAAAAAAUUGUUUUUACUUGCUAUUAAGUGUGUUGACCUUGGAUAAUUUACUUAACCUCUCUAUGCCUUGCUUCCUUUUCUGCAAAAUGAGAGUAAGAAAAGUGCUUACCUCAUUGGCUUUUUGUGAAAUUCAAUGAGUUAACACGUGGGAGAAAAGAUGUUUUUAAAUAAUCAAUUCUUAGCAGUUGGUCAUUGUUAUGAGUUACAUCAUGCGUAGUUAAAUAUUUUUUAAAAAAUUAAAAUUUAUUUUCCUAUAGGAAAAAGGAGGGACUGAAUUGUGAAUCCAUUUUCUCUGCUUUCAGUUAUUUCUACUCCUGAGAAAAACCCUAAGCACUUAGGGUCUAGAACCACAUCCCGAGACGGUGAGCUCUUCCCACAUUUUCACAUGUGCCUGAAUCAUUUGUAGGUCUCGUUCAAGCAGAGAAUCUCCGGGAUUCUCACUCGGGAGGUCUGGGGUCGGGCCUGAGUCCUUGCAUUUCUAACAAACUCCCAGUUGAUGCUGGUGCCACUGGUUCUGAAUUAAGAUGCUUGUUUACCUAGUGACAGCAACAAAAAUUGUAGCAAUGGUAUCCAGAAAUAAACAGCAUACUUUUAUAGGGCUAGUCAAAUGAACCCAAACAUACAAAAUAAAGGCAAACCUCACAAUCUUCUUGCAAUGAUUUAUUACUCUGAGAGCUCAUUUUAGGUGAGAUUGUCUCCCUCCGGAGCCUGAUUCCUAAAAGCUUUCUAUGACUUUGAAAUUAUCGUUUUCCUUUUGGAGGUAGCACAAUAUAAGAGCUAAGAAGAGAAUGAGAACUGGAGUCCCUCCCAGGUUUGCCCCUCUAGGUAUGUAAGCUAAGGUAAACUACUUAGCCUUUCUUAAGCCUCAGUUUUCUCAUUACAAAUGGGCAUAUACGGAACAUUGGCUUGCCUCCUACAGUUGUUUGAGGACUCAAUGAAAAUGUACGUGAAGCUGGUUGCGGUGAGCUGAGAUUGUGCCACUGCACUCCAGCCUUGUGAC
rnacentral:lncRNA from 1 species